rnacentral:snoRNA from 1 species
UUCUUCUUUCUAAAGCACCCUGCUAAAACUACAGGAGUCAAGCCUUUGAGGCAUAGCUCGUGUGGUCAUGUAAGCAUGGGUACACAAGAGAAGGAGAUUAAAAGCAUAGCAUUGGAAAUGAGGCUUGGAGGGACCUCUUUCUUAAUGUCCAGUGUCCUUUGUCUCGAGAUCCUGUGUUACAUUG